UACGUAGGGUGCAAGCGUUGUCCGGAAUUAUUGGGCGUAAAGAGCUCGUAGGCGGUCUGUUGCGUCGGCUGUGAAAACCCGGGGCUCAACCCCGGGCCUGCAGCCGAUACGGGCAGACUAGAGUUCGGCAGGGGAGACUGGAAUUCCCGGUGUAGUGGUGAAAUGCGUAGAUAUCGGGAGGAACACCAGUGGCGAAGGCGACUACCUGGCCCAUUCUUGACGCUGAGGCGCGAAAGCUAGGGGAGCGAACGGG
rnacentral:rRNA from 1 species